AUUGAACGCUGGCGGCAUGCUUUACACAUGCAAGUCGAACGGUAACAGGCCGCAAGGUGCUGACGAGUGGCGAACGGGUGAGUAAUGCAUCGGAACGUGCCCAGUCGUGGGGGAUAACUGCUCGAAAGAGCAGCUAAUACCGCAUACGAUCUAUGGAUGAAAGCGGGGGACCGUAAGGCCUCGCGCGAUUGGAGCGGCCGAUGUCAGAUUAGGUAGUUGGUGGGGUAAAGGCUCACCAAGCCAACGAUCUGUAGCUGGUCUGAGAGGACGACCAGCCACACUGGGACUGAUACACGGCCCAGACUCCUACGGGAGGCAGCAGUGGGGAAUUUUGGACAAUGGGCGCAAGCCUGAGCCAGCAAUGCCGAGUGCAGGAAGAAGGCCUUCGGGUUGUAAACUGCUUUUGUACGGAACGAAACGGCCCUGGUUAAUACCUGGGGCUAAUGACGGUACCGUAAGAAUAAGCACCGGCUAACUACGUGCCAGCAGCCGCCGUAACAC
rnacentral:rRNA from 1 species